UGGCGGCCGUAGCGCGGUGGUCCCACCUGACCCCAUGCCGAACUCAGAAGUGAAACGCCGUAGCGCCGAUGGUAGUGUGGGGGUCUCCCCAUGCGAGAGUAGGGAACUGCCA
rnacentral:rRNA from 1 species